GAAAUUUUAACGGCCGCAGUACCUUGACUGUGCAAAGGUAGCAUAAUCAUUUGACUUUUAAAUGAAGCCUGGAAUGAAAGAAAGAACGUAGACAAGUUGUCUCAUUAACAUUAAUUUAAACUUGCUGUAAGAGUGAAAAUACUCUUAUUUUAAAAAAUAGACGAGAAGACCCUUAGAAUUUUUAUAAUAUACAAGUAUUAAUCUUGUAAAAUUUUUUGUUGGGGCAACAAUAUUUCAUC
rnacentral:rRNA from 1 species